GAUGAACGCUGGCGGUGUGCCUAAUACAUGCAAGUCGAGCGAACAGACGAGGAGCUUACUCCUCUGACGUUAGCGGCGGACGGGUGAGUAACACGUGGAUAACCUACCUAUAAGACUGGGAUAACUUCGGGAAACCGGAGCUAAUACCGGAUAACAUGUUGAACCGCAUGGUUCAACAGUGAAAGACGGUCUUGCUGUCACUUAUAGAUGGAUCCGCGUCGCAUUAGCUAGUUGGUAAGGUGACGGCUUACCAAGGCAACGAUGCGUAGCCGACCUGAGAGGGUGAUCGGCCACACUGGAACUGAGACACGGUCCAGACUCCUACGGGAGGCAGCAGUAGGGAAUCUUCCGCAAUGGGCGAAAGCCUGACGGAGCAACGCCGCGUGAGUGAAGAAGGUCUUCGGAUCGUAAAACUCUGUUAUUAGGGAAGAACAAAUGUGUAAGUAACUAUGCACGUCUUGACGGUACCUAAUCAGAAAGCCACGGCUAACUACGUG
rnacentral:rRNA from 1 species